GCCAUGGCGGCAUGGUGCCCAUUGCUCCCAACAGCAGGAUGCGCCGGGCCGGAGCGCCACCAGUCCCAAUCGGCCGUGGGGUCGGUGGGCCAAGGCACCAUCGCCCCCAUCUACAGGAGUGUCAUCGGGCCGGGCGGCAGGCUCGGUAAUGGCUGGAGCCUGCGAAGGGUGGCGCCGUGACGGCCUACGUGGGAGCUGUGCGAGAAUGCUGUAGCGCAGCCAGGUUGGCCGGUUGUGGCUCGGCAAUGGCGGUAAUUGCAGGCGACCGAAGACAGGUGAGGCGCUAUCCUUCUUCCCUAAAUUUCCUAUUUUCCCCUUUGAUGAAUAGAACUGUGCAAUAUAUACGUGUGAUUAAUUAGUCAUUUAAUAUGGAUUGAUGGAUCUACAGGAUCCAUUUGUGUUUAUCAUCUGAGGAUUAAUUAGUCCCCUACUAUGCCGAGCACGAGCACAGGUGAGUCCUCUCCCAUGACGCAUUCCCAUCAUGGAAAGGGCAGCAAUUUAGGCACACAAUCCCCUCGUGUUCUUUGCUCCUAAUUCGACAUGUAAAGAAAAUGCAACAUGGGAUAGCCCAACUUGUUGUCACUACAAAGCAUUAUAUUUGCGUCACCUCAGAUCUAAUGGAAAGGCAAGAAUGGAUCAUGGCUGAAGGGACCAAAGGUAAUUGUUCGCUGAAUCCAAACCAGUUCAACACCAAGUUGUAAUUUAGUGGAAUGCUCAUAGUAGAAAACCUCUGCUACUGUGUCAAUUCUAUUCAGCCUUGCUUACUACUAAACCACAAUUUCAAGAUAUCAUACAAGGUGAAGAGCCAAACUCUGCGGAUGAUAUUGUGAAGUUCUUUUUUGGUACAGUUUAUCAAAUUGCUGAGCAUAGGCAUCCUUUUAGCUGGUUCAUGCCCAGAAUUUACUAAGUUUUGUGUCAGUUAGAUGGUCAACAUAUGUGACAAAGUGACAUGUUAUGAAAUGGUUGUAAUAGCACAUGAUGUAUAUAUAUGAUGUAAUUUUGAAUGCUUCGAUUGAACAAUUCUACAGGGAUUGUCAAAUAUAUGUUUGCGUUAUCAUAAUAAUUUCUUUGUUUA